GCGGGUAGAAACUAUUUGGGACUAAUGACUGACCUCUCUAAGUACUUUAAUACACUACAUUAUACAUUAGAACCAAUAUCCAACAACCAAUUUACACCAUUUUUGUUUUCCCCCUUCUUUUAUUUUGCCCUAUCUCUUUUAAGUAUUUUCACAAAUACAUGGUGGGCAUAUUGUUUAUUCCUUUAAGAUUUAAUUUUUCUCAUUCACUACAAUCAAGGGAAUAUUUCUAACACCAUUUAUAUCACUCAUAACCAC
rnacentral:lncRNA from 1 species